UUGAACGCUGGCGGCAUGCUUUACACAUGCAAGUCGAACGGCAGCGGGGGCUUCGGCCUGCCGGCGAGUGGCGAACGGGUGAGUAAUGCAUCGGAACGUACCCAGUCGUGGGGGAUAACUACGCGAAAGCGUAGCUAAUACCGCAUACGUCCUGAGGGAGAAAGCGGGGGAUCUUCGGACCUCGCGCGAUUGGAGCGGCCGAUGUCGGAUUAGCUAGUAGGUGAGGUAAAGGCUCACCUAGGCGACGAUCCGUAGCGGGUCUGAGAGGAUGAUCCGCCACACUGGGACUGAGACACGGCCCAGACUCCUACGGGAGGCAGCAGUGGGGAAUUUUGGACAAUGGGCGCAAGCCUGAUCCAGCCAUGCCGCGUGAGUGAAGAAGGCCUUCGGGUUGUAAAGCUCUUUCGGCCGGGAAGAAAUCGUGCAGGUUAAUAACCUGUAUGGAUGACGGUACCGGAAGAAGAAGCACCGGCUAACUACGU
rnacentral:rRNA from 1 species